AGUUUUUCCCGGUCUUUAAAGCGCGUGCAAAGUGCACCACUUUGUGUCACCCGCGGCUCUGAUUGGCUGCAGGGGCCAAGGGCCGCGCCCACGCCCUGACACGAUUGGGAGAAAAAAUGGCAGGCUGCCGAUAGCAGCCGAACGCACAUAAGCGUCACACUGCUCGAGCAGCAGCGGGGAGACCUGCGGCCAAAAGCUGCUCCGUGUGGGACGAUGGGACUGGCUCGCUGCCCCGAGGUGCUGUUCCCGGUCCUACGAAUCUAGCGCAUGGAGCCACCCUCCUUUCCCCGCUCCUCGCACAAGGAUCUCGCCGCUACGGAGCCGGAGGAGGAAUAUAGAAAGACGCCCUGCAGGUCAUUACUGCUUAGCAUGCGAGCUCAGCAUCCUGCGUCUUUUCAGGGAUAAACGCCGUCCCUGGCACUCGCUGAGAAGAGACUGCUAGAGCAGCAUCUGUGCACAGUGGAGGAUUAUUAAGGCAGAACUUAGCCAUGAAAAAAAAAACAAAACACCUUUCCUCUAAGAGGUUAAGUUAAAAUAAAAUCAAGGACUACAAAA